ACAAACUCAAAGGAACAUCCCCAGUACUCUCCUUUCUUUGACCCACAUCUCCAUAAUUGCUCCUCUCUUGUGAAACAUUUAUCACACAUACAGAGAAGAUGACCACUUCUUCCAUGGCCUUACAAGGAGCUUCUUCCUCUCUCCAGUCCUCCUCUUCUUCCGUACAUCCGUGGACUCACGAUAUAUUCUUGAGCUUUAGAGGUGAAGAUGUUCGCCAAAAUUUUAUUUCUCAUCUAUACUAUGCUUUGAAUAAAAGAGGAAUCAACACUUAUAUAGAUGAUGAGCUCGAAAGAGGAGAGGAAAUCUCGCAAGCACUUUUUCAAGCUAUCGAAGGGUCAAUGAUUUCUAUCAUUGUACUAUCUAAAAACUAUGCAGAAUCUAGAUGGUGCUUGAAUGAACUAUUGAAGAUCCUUGAGUGUAUGGAACCAGUAAAACAAAAAGUUCUACCCUUAUUUUACAACGUAGAUCCAUCAGAUGUAAGACAUCAAAAAGGAAGUUUUGGAGAAGGAUUCGCUAAACUUAAAGACAGGUUCAAGGGCAAUGAAGAAGUGCUGAAGUGGAAGGCAGCUUUAGAAAACCUAGCCAAUAUGUCGGGGGUUGAAUUAAAGAAUUACAGGAAAGAGUCAGAAUUUAUUGAGGAAAUCAUUCAAUGGGUCAACUCAAGAAUAGUAAACCAAACACCUCUAAACGUUGCCAAGUAUCUAGUUGGGAUAAAGUGUCGUAAGCGAGAUAUUUAUCAGCAUUUAAGUAUUGAAAGGAAUGAUAUUAUACAUAUUGUAGGGAUAUUUGGUAUCGGUGGAAUUGGUAAGACGACUAUUUCAAAAGAUAUCUAUAACCAGAUUUACUCUCAAUUUGAAGGAAGUUGUUUCUUGAAAAACGUUAGAGAAACUUCAAAACAAGUAGGAGGUCUGAUUAAGCUGCAAGAAAUACUUCUUUUCGAGAUCUUAGGGAAAAAACUAGAUAUUUAUGAUGCUGAUAGAGGAAUGAAUGUGAUUAAGCACAGACUUUGCUCUAAAAGAGUUCUACUAAUUCUUGAUGAUGUGGAUGAGUUGGUCCAAAUUGAAAAAUUAGUUGGAGAUCGCAAUUGGUUUGGUUUGGGAAGUAGAAUUAUCAUAACAACGAGAGAUCAACGUUUACUAGAUAAUGCUAAAGUUGAUUCAAAACAUGAGGUGAUGAUUUUGGAUGACAGUGAAGCUCUUCAACUCUUUAGCUUGCAUGCUGUUGGGAAAGAUGAACCACUUGAUGAGUAUGUGGAACUCUCUAAACAAGUAAUAAAAUAUGCUCAGGGCCUUCCACUGGCUUUAACAGUGCUAGGAUCGGAUCUAAAAGGUCAAAAUAAACCUCAAUGGAAGAGUGCAUUGGAAAAGUAUAAAAGCAUUCCCCACAAAAAUAUUCAAAGUGUACUUCGAAUAAGUUAUGAUGAUUUAGAAGAUACUGAGAAGGAAAUGUUCCUUGAUAUUGCCUUUUUCUUUAAGGGAGAACCUUUGGCUAAUAUCUGGAAAAUAUUUGACAGUUAUAAUUAUUUUCCAGAUCAUGGUAUUGACAAGCUUAUAAAAAAGUGCCUUAUUACUAUUGAAGAUAAAUAUGUUUGGAUGUAUGACUUGUUACAAGAUAUGGGUCGAGAAAUUGUUCGACUAGAAUCACCCCUUGAACCUGGUGAACGUAGUAGACUCUGGUUUCACAAAGAUAUCCGUGGAGUGUUGGAAGAAGGCACGGGCACAAACAAAAUUGCAGGGAUGAUAAUAGAAAUGCCCAAAGGCGAGGAUGCGAUAAGCUUGGAUCCUGAAGCAUUUGUACGGAUGAAAAAACUUAGAGUGCUUUUCAUUCGUAAUGCAAGUUUUUCAGGUGGACCUAAUUAUCUAUCCAACGAGUUAAGAGUACUUGAUUGGGUUGAAUAUCCGCUACAAUCUUUGCCACCUAAUUUCCAUGGAAAUAAACUCAUUAUCUUUAAAAUGCGUCUUGGCUUCAUCAGGGAGUUAGGCUUCAUCUGGGAGUUUAAGAAUAUGACAAGUAUGGAAUUCCAUAAUUGUAAUUUCUUAACAAAACUUCCAGAUGUUUCAAGCAUUCCAAAUUUGAACAAAUUGAUUGUCAGAAGAUGUACAAGUUUAGUUGAGGUGCAUGAUUCUGUCGGAUCCUUAGAGAAUCUUUGUCAAUUGGAUUUUUCCGGAUGCUCUAACCUCAGAAUUCUUCCAGCAAGCCUCAAGUUGAGAUCUUUACAUGACCUUUUUCUUAGUGAUUGCUCAAGCCUUCGUAGCUUUCCUGAAAUUGGUUGUGAAAUGAAAUAUUUACGGCAAUUAUCUCUAUAUCGCACUGCAGUGGAAGAACUACCUUUAUCCAUUGGCAAUCUUACUGGACUUCUUGUAUUAAUUCUACAAGGCUGCAAAAACCUUAAGCGUCUAGUGAAGAAGAUGGGGUAUGAUGGACAAUCCAUUCUAGCUAUUGGGUCUACAACAAUGGAAGACGAGAUUUCAUCGAAUGAAGAACAACUCCAGGAAUUGGCGCCUCCAACGAAUUCAAGCAAUGGAAGCAGUGCAUUACAAGUGUUGAAUCAUCCGAAUUGUUUACAAUCAGAAUCAAAUUUCUUUCCAAUAUCAAGUUUGUUUACCAUGUUUUAUUCUUUAGACACAUUAACUCAAUUAGAUCUAUUGAAGAGUGAAAUUGUUAGCCUUCCCACAAGCAUAAGAGGAUUUGUUGCACUUAGAGAGCUCUACUUGUGGGAUUGCGUGAAACUUGAAGAAAUCUUAGAGCUUCCACCAAAUAUAGAAUUUGUAGAGGCUAUGGGAUGCGAGUCGUUAGAAAGAUUUCCAGAAGUAUCAAGAAUAAUGGAAUUCAAUGGAAGCUACAUUAGAUCGCUAUGUCGUAUUGAGUUGAAUGGCUGCAACAAAAUGAAUGAGAAGAUUUGGAAUUAUAAAGUGCCAAAUCCAUUACUGUGGAAGGUAUCGAAUAAAUGAUUUAGAAUCAUCUAAGCUAAAGGUACCUUCAACUUCCUAGUGAUAGUGCUCUUUUGCGGAUGCCAUAUUAUAGGAGUUAGGGAGCCAAUAUUGUAUACAAGCAUGAAAGCAGAGCACAUAAAAGAAGAAAAUUGGAUUGAAUUAAAUGAUAGGCCAAGUGGCCUUUUGCUACUAUUUCUUUGGAAUUUCAGUUGUAGCAGGAUUUUUCAGUCCAUCCAAAUCAAAGGACAGAGAAAAAACUAAACACAGGGUGUUUGAUGAAAUGCCUCAGUUAACUUGAGAGCAUGGAUAGUCUACUGUUUCUAUUUAUAAUAUGUAUUGCAUCAAUAUAAGAGACAUUGUACCGUUGGAGACUUGUGUCUAUACAAGGUAACUUGCGGAAAUGAAAUCAUACAAAGUUGAAAAAGUUAGAAUCAGCCAUUGCAUGGAUUGGGGUUGCCAUAUGGGUGACUGGGAGAAUCUUUAGCAAAUGGAGAUGCGUUAGCCGUUGUGGCUAUCGCCUUGAGAGAUGGAUCUUCAUUUGUCGUGGAGGCACACCUUUGCAACAGAUCAAGGAGGCCCAUCAGAAAUUAUUGUUGGGGGAAUCUCAGGCUUUCACAUUGACCCCUGUAAUGAUGAUGAAUUGAGCCACAAGAUUGCUGAUUUCUUUGAAAUGUGCAAGGCGGAUCCUGAAAAUUGGAACAAGAUCUCCAAAGCUAGUCUUCGGCGUAUAAAUGAAUGCUACACAUGAAAGAGUUGUGCGAACAAGCUGCUGAACAUGGGAGCAGUGCAUGGAUUUUGGAGGCUGAUGAACAAGAAACAAAAGUUAGCUAAACAAAAGCAUAUCGACAUGUUUUACAAUCUCCAGUUUAGGAAUUUCGUGACUUUUUACAACUAUUUUUAGACAUAUUGAAAUCAUAAACAUUUUAUAGAGUUCUAUUCAUUGUAUCACAGGCGAGGAGUUUGCUCAUCCCAAGGGAAGAACCCCAACAAACAACACCAGCUGCGACGUCUAAAGCCUAAACAACCAUCGGCAACAUUGACAACUGUAUCCCAGUCCAGACCAAGGCAUAUAAGCUAACUCUUAAGAAAAUUUAAUUUUUUUAAAAAAAAAGUUAUUGAACAAAAGUUAUUUGACCUCCUUCCAUGGUUGUAAGUUAUGCAGAAGGGGGCAUAGAACCGGUUAGAAGAAAUUAGUUUUCAUGUUUUUUCUAGUGCAGAUUUGACUGUUGGAAAUUAAAAUUCAAAGGAUCCUUUAUGCAACAAAUAGUCCUUUUAAAUAGUAAGAGAGGAAAUGCAAUAAAUGGGUAAAUGAGUGGUCAUAAUAAAGUGAAAAGGUUGGAAUUGGAGGCACAUCAUUCUUGGUUCUCUGUCUUUUAAUUUAUUACCUCCCAUAUGAAACUAUCUUUUGUUCAUAUAGCUAAAGUGAAAGUAAGAUGUAGUGAGGAAAUAUAUCACGAAAUACAGAAAAUGUAUAUUGUCAGGGAAGCAAGUCAUUAGAAGGAUUUUGAGAAUUAUGAAGAAUAUUGGAAUUCAAGGGAAGCCAUAUCAGAUUGCUAUAUUGUAUUAUCUUGAGUGGCGGCAACAAAAUGUAUGAGAAGAUUUGGAGUUAUAAAGCGCCAGAUUCGUUACUGUGGAAGGUAACAAGAUUCUUGAGGAUUAGAGGAUAUUUGGCAGACAAGAAUAAACCAAUCAUCUUCUUGAUGGCACGACUUGAUACAGUGAAAAUCAUUACUGGACUGAUUGAAUGGUAUGUAAAGAAUGAGAAGCUAAGAUCGAAGUUUGGUAAAUCAUUGAAUUUCUAAGAUAAGUUUCCAUGGCAGGUGCAUAUAACUAACAAUGGCCUCAUCUAAAACUAACUUUGAACCAGAAUAUGUUGGUGCAACAUGGGCUGCAAAAAUAGUACAGACAGAGUAAGAGAAAAGAGUUUCUUUCAAAGUGUGUUACAAUAUCCUUUUUCACGUGUGGACACAAGCAAGAUAGCCCCCCAUGAACUUGGUGUCUAAAGUUCGAUAAACAUACUCCUUCACAUAUCCAUUACUUCUAUGAACUUUGCUUAAAGAAAUAUUGACUUGUUAUCUAGGAUAUAUUGUUGUGCCAUGUUGAUACCAAUUUAUAUUAUGGUAUAGUGACUUUAUCAUAGAACUACACUCUUUAGACUUCAACAAAAUAUGAUAUUCAAGACUUAAUUGUAUCUUUGCCACUGAAAUUAAGGUUUUCAUUUGGGAUUUGAUGUUAAGACUCCCUUAAUCUACACAGGUUGCAUGUGUAGUUGCAGCAUUCAGUUGUAACACUUCACUAUUGAAAAUCCUUAAGUGUAUCAUGAAAACAAUAAAACAAAUUUUUGUACACCUAUUUUACCAUGUAGAUCUAUCAGAUAUAAGACAUCAAAAAGAAAAUUUUGGAGAAGCAUUCGCUAAACUUAAAAAUAGGUUCGAGUGCAAUGAAGAAGUGCUGAAGUGGGACGCAACUUUAGAAAAGCUAGCCAAUAGGUUGGGGGUCAAAUUAAAGAAUUACAGGUACUUUUGAUUUCUUCGAAUAUAUAAAUAUAGAUAUGUGUGUGUGUGUGUGAUGUUAAAGCGAACUUUAUGAACAAAACUCAGAAAAUUCCAGCAUUGAUAAAAAUAUGGUACACCGCAUUACUUGGAGAAACUGUGAACAAGAAAAAUACAAAUUUAAAUCUAGGAAUAGAGGAAUAUAUGCAAUUUCGUCGUCCAUAAAACAACUAAAUGAGGUGGAAAAAAAUAUAAUUGAGAAAAAGGAUGGGGAUUUUUGUAUUUCUUAUGAAGUGGAAUCAUACCCUCAUAAGAAAAAUAAAACAACUUUAAAUAAGCAGUACUGCUUUUUAGAUAAUUUGUUUCGAUACAUAAAUAUUGAUAUUUAGUUAUUACACGGUGUUGGCCUUCCAAGCACGUGCAUGUAGGCUGCUUUCUGGAUUGAUGGAACCAAACAAGCUGUCCACUUUUAAUUAAUUAAUUAAUUAAGAGAGGAAACGCAAUAAAUGGGUAAAUGAGUGAUCACAAAAAAGUGAAAAGGCUGGAAUUGGAGGCGCUUCAUUCUUGGUUCUCUACUUCUUUUAAUUUAUUACCUCCCAAUAUGAAACUUUAUCUUUUGUUCAUAUAGUUAAACUGUAUCUCAUUUUCAAUCUUGAUAGAUCAAAACACAGAAGAAAACUAGAGCAUUUUAAAAUUAUGACUGGGAUCCAUGAUAACAAAGGCAGCUUGGGAACUGGGAUGUAUUUUAACGUAUACUUAUCGAAAUGUCUCUGUAUUUUGCUCAACAGUCCACUUGUCAUUCUUCAGAGUUUCAAGCCCUCCUCCUCUAAUGAAGAGUUUCUUUAGGCUAUCCAUUUUGCUAGGUACCAACCAAUCAGGUAUCUUUGUCUCUGGGCAACUCCAACUUCUCAAGAAGCUCCAGAAUUUGGUAACUACUCUUUGUUGUCAACUUGGAAGCUUGUUAAUUCUAGAGAUCCCUUGAAGACUAAGAAGCCUUAACUCUUUCAUACUCUUCAACCCUUCUAAGAAUU